UGAAUACGAGACGCUAAGGCGUCGAAGUAGUGUAUGUCAUACUUCCAAGAAAAGCUUGCACUGUCAUAAAUAAAGAAUGCCUGUACCAUAACCGACACAGGUGGGUAAGUAGAGUAUACUAAGGGGCGCGAGAUAACUCUCUCUAAGGAACUCGGCAAAAUAACUCCGUAACUUCGGGAGAAGGAGUGCCUUAUUCUUAAGGUUGCAAUAACAAGAUCCAAGCAACUGUUUAUCAAAAACACAGGUCUCCGCUAAGUCGUAAGACGAUGUAUGGGGGCUGACGCCUGCCCAGUGCCAGAAGGUUAAAGAAGUCGGUUAGCAAUUGCGAAGCUGGUAACUGAAGCCCUGGUGAACGGCGGCCGUAACAAUAACGGUCCUAAGGUAGCGAAAUUCCUUGUCGGGUAAGUUCCGACCCGCACGAAAGGCGUAAUGAUUUGGAUGCUGUCUCGGAGAGAGGCUCGGUGAAAUAGACUUGUCUGUGAAGAUGCGGACUACCUGCACCAGGACAGAAAGACCCUAUGAAGCUUUACUGUAACUUGAAAUUGAAAUUGGACUUUACUCGCGCAGUAUAGGUGGGAGGCGUUGAUUAUAAUCUCGUGGGAUUAUUGGAGCCAUCAGUGAGAUACCACUCUUGUAAUGUUAGAUUUCUAACUUUGAAUCAUUAUCUGGUCAAAGGACAGUUUCAGGCGGGCAGUUUGACUGGGGCGGUCGCCUCCUAAACGGUAACGGAGGCGUACAAAGGUUUCCUCUGAACGGUUAGAAAUCGUAUCUAGAGUGUAAAGGCAUAAGGAAGCUUGACUGUGAGACCUACAAGUCGAGCAGGGACGAAAGUCGGUCUUAGUGAUCUGACGGUACUGAGUGGAAAGGCCGUCACUCAACGGAUAAAAGUUACUCUAGGAUAACAGGCUGAUCUCCCCCAAGAGUUCACAUCGACGGGGAGGUUUGGCACCUCGAUGUCGGCUCAUCGCAUCCUGGGGCGGUAGUACGUCCCAAGGGUUGGGCUGUUCGCCCAUGAAAGCGGUACGCGAGCUGGGUUCAGAACGUCGUGAGACAGUUCGGUCCAUAUCCGGUGUAGGCGCUAGAAUAUUGAGAGGAGCCUUCUUUAGUACGAGAGGACCGAGAAGGACAUACCUCUGGUGUACCAGUUAUCGUGCCAACGGUAAACGCUGGGUAGCUAUGUAUGGAGUGGAUAACCGCUGAAAGCAUCUAAGUGGGAAGCCCACCUCAAGAUAAG
rnacentral:rRNA from 1 species